ACUAUAGUCACCUGAACAACUUUAGCUUAAUGAAGCAGUUUUGGUGUAUAGAACAUGCCCCCGCAGCCUCACUGCUCAAUCCUCUGCCAUUUAGGAGUUAAAUCCCUUUGUUUAUGAACCCUAGUCACACCUCCCUGCAUGUGACUUGCACAGCCUUCCAUAAACACUUCCUGUAAAGAGAGCCCUAUUUAGGCUUUCUUUAUUGCAAGUUCUGUUUAAUUAAGAUUUUCUUAUCCCCUGCUAUGUUAAUAGCUUGCUAGACCCUGCAAGAGCCUCCUGUAUGUGAUUAAAGUUCAAUUUAGAGAUUGAGAUACAAUUAUUUAAGGU